rnacentral:rRNA from 1 species
GCAGACGGGUGAGUAACGCGUGGGAACCUGCCCAGUAGUAGAGAAUAACUUGAGGAAACUUAAGCUAAUACUUUAUACACCCUCCGGGGAAAAGCUUUAAGCGCUAUUGGAUGGGCCCGCGUUAGAUUAGUUUGUUGGUGAGGUAAUGGCUCACCAAGACUACGAUCUAUAGCUGGUCUGAGAGGAUGAUCAGCCACACUGGGACUGAGACACGGCCCAGACUCCUACGGGAGGCAGCAGUGGGGAAUAUUGGACAAUGGGGGCAACCCUGAUCCAGCGAUGCCGCGUGAGUGAUGAAGGCCUUCGGGUUGUAAAACUCUUUCGUCAGGGAAGAUAAUGACGGUACCUGAAGAAGAAGAUCCGGCUAACUCCGUGCCAGCAGCCGCGGUAAUACGGAGGGAUCUAGCGUUAUUCGGAAUUACUGGGCGUAAAGCGAGCGUAGGCGGAUUUGUAAGUUGGAGGUGAAAUCCCAGAGCUUAACUCUGGAACUGCCUUCAAAACUACAUUUCUUGAGUUUGGUAGAGGAGAGUGGAAUUCCUAGUGUAGAGGUGAAAUUCGUAGAUAUUAGGAGGAACACCAGUGGCGAAGGCGACUCUCUGGGCCAAUACUGACGCUGAGGUUCGAAAGCAUGGGUAGCGAACAGGAUUAGAUACCCUGGUAGUCCAUGCAGUAAACGAUGAGUGCUAGAUGUUGGGAAUUUAAAUUUCCAGUAUCGCAGUUAACGCGUUAAGCACUCCGCCUGGGAAGUACGGCCGCA